GACGAACGCUGGCGGCGUGCUUAACACAUGCAAGUCGAACGGAAAGGCCCUGCUUUUGUGGGGUGCUCGAGUGGCGAACGGGUGAGUAACACGUGAGUAACCUGCCCUUGACUUUGGGAUAACUUCAGGAAACUGGGGCUAAUACCGGAUAGGAGCUCCUGCUGCAUGGUGGGGGUUGGAAAGUUUCGGCGGUUGGGGAUGGACUCGCGGCUUAUCAGCUUGUUGGUGGGGUAGUGACUUACCAAGGCUUUGACGGGUAGCCGGCCUGAGAGGGUGACCGGCCACAUUGGGACUGAGAUACGGCCCAGACUCCUACGGGAGGCAGCAGUGGGGAAUAUUGCACAAUGGGCGGAAGCCUGAUGCAGCAACGCCGCGUGCGGGAUGACGGCCUUCGGGCUGUAAACCGCUUUCGCCUGUGACGAAGCGUGAGUGACGGUAAUGGGUAAAGAAGCACCGGCUAACUACGUG
rnacentral:rRNA from 1 species